rnacentral:rRNA from 1 species
GAGUUUGAUCGUGGCUCAGAACGAACGCUGGCGGCAUGCCUAACACAUGCAAGUCGAACGGGAUCCAUCUUUCGGGAUGGUGAGAGUGGCGGACGGGUGAGUAACGCGUGGGAACCUGCCCAGUGGUGGGGGAUAACUGCGGGAAACUGCAGCUAAUACCGCAUGAGCCCGAGAGGGGAAAGAUUUAUCGCCAUUGGAGCGGCCCGCGUUGGAUUAGGUAGUUGGUGGGGUAAAGGCCCACCAAGCCUACGAUCCAUAGCUGGUCUGAGAGGAUGAUCAGCCACACUGGGACUGAGACACGGCCCAGACUCCUACGGGAGGCAGCAGUGGGGAAUCUUGCGCAAUGGGCGAAAGCCUGACGCAGCCAUGCCGCGUGAAUGAUGAAGGUCUUAGGAUUGUAAAAUUCUUUCACCGGGGAAGAUAAUGACGGUACCCGGAGAAGAAGCCCCGGCUAACUUCGUGCCAGCCGCCGCGGU